AUACGGAGGGUGCAAGCGUUACUCGGAAUCACUGGGCGUAAAGCGCGCGCAGGCGGGCUGAUAAGUUGGAUGUGAAAGCCUACGGCUCAACCGUAGAACUGCAUCCAAAACUGUCAGUCUAGAGUCUGGGGGGGAAGAUGGAAUUAGUUGUGUAGGGGUAAAAUCCGUAGAGAUAACUAGGAAUACCAAAAGCGAAGGCGAUCUUCUGGAACAGUACUGACGCUGAGGCGCGAAAGCGUGGGGAGCAAACAGGAUUAGAUACCCGAGUAGUCC
rnacentral:rRNA from 1 species